GAUGAAGAACGUAGCGAAAUGCGAUACGUAAUGUGAAUUGCAGAAUUCAGUGAAUCAUCGAAUCUUUGAACGCAUAUUGCGCUCUCUGGUAUUCCGGAGAGCAUGCUUGUUUGAGUAUCAGUAAACACCUCAACUUCCAUAUCUUUUUUGAAAUGGGAGUUGGACUUGAGUGAUCCCAACGCUUUUCCUCACCGAAAAGUGGCGGGUUACUUGAAAUGCAGGUGCAGCUGGACUUUUCUCUGAGCUAUAAGCAUAUCUAUUUAGUCUGCCUAAAAAACAGAUUAUUACCUUUGCUGCAGCUAACAUAAAGGAGAUUAGUUCUUGUGCUGACUGAUGCAGGAUUCACAAAGACAGGCUUCGGCCGACUUUGUAAACUCGAUCUCAAAUCAAGUAAGACUACCCGCUGAACUUAAGCAUAUCAAUACGGAGGA
rnacentral:misc_RNA from 1 species